CUACGGGUGGCAGCAGUGGGGAAUAUUGGACAAUGGGCGAAAGCCUGAUCCAGCCAUGCCGCGUGUGUGAAGAAGGCCUUCGGGUUGUAAAGCACUUUCAGUGGGGAAGAAAGCCUUGGGGCUAAUACCCUCGAGGAAGGACAUCACCCACAGAAGAAGCACCGGCUAACUCCGUGCCAGCAGCCGCGGUAAUACGGAGGGUGCGAGCGUUAAUCGGAAUUACUGGGCGUAAAGCGCGCGUAGGCGGUCUGAUAAGCCGGUUGUGAAAGCCCCGGGCUCAACCUGGGAACGGCAUCCGGAACUGUCAGGCUAGAGUGCAGGAGAGGAAGGUAGAAUUCCCGGUGUAGCAGUGAAAUGCGUAGAGAUCGGGAGGAAUACCAGUGGCGAAGGCGGCCUUCUAGACUGACACUGACGCUGAGGUGCGAAAGCGUGGGUAGCAAACAGGAUUAGAUACCCCAGUAGUC
rnacentral:rRNA from 1 species